CCUACGGGGGGCAGCAGUGAGGAAUAUUGGUCAAUGGGCGCGAGCCUGAACCAGCCAAGUCGCGUGAGGGAAGACGGUCCUAUGGAUUGUAAACCUCUUUUGUCGGGGAGCAAAAGACGCCACGCGUGGCGUUCCGAGAGUACCCUAAGAAAAAGCAUCGGCUAACUCCGUUCCAGCAGCCGCGGUAAGACGGAGGAUGCGAGCGUUAUCCGGAUUUAUUGGGUUAAAAGGGUGCGCAGGCGGAAGAUCAAGUCAGCGGUAAAAUUGAGAGGCUCAACCUCUUCGAGCCGUUGAAACUGGUGUUCUUGAGUGAGCGAGAAGUAGGCGGAAUGCGUGGUGUAGCGGUGAAAUGCAUAGAUAUCACGCAGAACUCCGAUUGCGAAGGCAGCAUACCGGCGCUCAACUGACGCUCAUGCACGAAAGUGUGGGUAUCGAACAGGAUUAGAUACCCGGGUAGUC
rnacentral:rRNA from 1 species